UAGUUAUCAAGUAACCAAAAG
rnacentral:piRNA from 1 species